AUGAACGCUGGCGGCGUGCCUAAUACAUGCAAGUCGAGCGAACAGACGAGGAGCUUGCUCCUCUGACGUUAGCGGCGGACGGGUGAGUAACACGUGGAUAACCUACCUAUAAGACUGGGAUAACUUCGGGAAACCGGAGCUAAUACCGGAUAAUAUAUUGAACCGCAUGGUUCAAUAGUGAAAGACGGUUUUGCUGUCACUUAUAGAUGGAUCCGCGCCGCAUUAGCUAGUUGGUAAGGUAACGGCUUACCAAGUCAACGAUGCGUAGCCGACCUGAGAGGGUGAUCGGCCACACUGGAACUGGGACACGGUCCAGACUCCUACGGGAGGCAGCAGUAGGGAAUCUUCCGCAAUGGGCGAAAGCCUGACGGAGCAACGCCGCGUGAGUGAUGAAGGUCUUCGGAUCGUAAAACUCUGUUAUUAGGGAAGAACAAAUGUGUAAGUAACUAUGCACGUCUUGACGGUACCUAAUCAGAAAGCCACGGCUAACUACGUG
rnacentral:rRNA from 1 species